GACGAACGCUGGCGGCGUGCUUAACACAUGCAAGUCGAACGGAAAGGCCCUGCUUUUGUGGGGUGCUCGAGUGGCGAACGGGUGAGUAACACGUGAGUAACCUGCCCUUGACUUUGGGAUAACUUCAGGAAACUGGGGCUAAUACCGGAUAGGAGCUCCUGCUGCAUGGUGGGGGUUGGAAAGUUUCGGCGGUUGGGGAUGGACUCGCGGCUUUUCAGCUUGUUGGUGGGGUAGUGGAUUACCAAGGCUUUGACGGGUAGCCGGCCUGAGAGGGUGACCGGCGACAUUGGGACUGAGAUACGGACCAGAAUGCUACGGGAGGCAGCAGUGGGGAAUAUUGCACAAUGGGCGGACGCGUGAUGCAGCAACGCCGCGUGCGGGAUGACGGCCUUCGGGGUGUAAACCGCUUUCGCAUGUGACGAAGAGUGAGUGACGGUAAUGGGUAAAGAAGCACCGGCUAACUACGUG
rnacentral:rRNA from 1 species